rnacentral:tRNA from 1 species
ACCCCGCAAAGUGGAUUGGAUAUGACUGUUAAUCACUAGGUCGGCGGUUCGAGCCCGUCCCGGGGAGCCA